UCUCGGAUCCUCCUGAUCCACUAACGGUGCUUUUAGGUACUUCAAGCACCGGUCACCGUUCUCGUCGAACCCGUCGCUUGCGACGAAGGGCUCGACGAGUAAAUUAACUCUCAGACACAGCCCACUGAGUUUCUCGCCGGAUCUUCUCAGUGGGUCGCGUUUCCGAUCCGGUGGUAGAUUCUGCGAAGCACGACUCUUGCUAGGGUUCGUGUUAGCAACAUCGUCAGGUUUGAGCCCCGUGAGCUCACCUACUAAAGUUAAGGCUACGCUGAAAUAGCCGCUAGGGCUAUCAGCUUAGGUAGGAAAAAAAAAAAAAAAAAAAAAAAAAAAUGAAAUGAACAUUCGUUGGACUGCGCUUGCCUGGUGCACUUACUAUAUCCUUGUUACGUUGUGUGAUUCAGUGACUGUUGUACGUACUGGUUAAAGUUGGACAAGUGUUAAAGUGAAUUGUUAAGAUAACAUAUUGUUGAUUAAAUCAGGAACCAAAAAGUGACAUCGUUUUACUUGGUGUUCAACAAGAUAAUGUCUACCCUCAAGCUUACAUCAGAAGUGAGAUCAGGACUCUACUCUCACUGGCGUGACGUGUUUGAACAUGUUCGAAGUACAGCAAAAAAACAUGAUGCAGAUCAGAAUACUAGUAGUGGUAUGCCACAAGAGCGUCAAUGCAGCAUACGUAAGUCGUGUAAUAACGUCUCUGUUACCUCGAUGGAAGAUCUGAGCCACGAAGAAAUCGUCACAUCUUACGUUCUGGCUCAUGUUGCCCAGUUGACUCUCGACUUAUCACAUGGCAUUUAAACACGUAACAAGCUAUUGCAAGAAAUUAAGGCAAGUGCAAAUCUCAAGUGAAACUUCGAUCGCAAUAAUGGAUCUGUCAUGACGAGUGGGUAGUUCCGACACGAAUCGUUUUUAAGCCAAUGACUACUGCUAGAGUUACAUGGCACUAGUACAGUAAACCAGGACAUGAGACUGUGAAUUGUCGCUGAAAUUUUAGAAUCUACUCGAUUCAAUACCAAUAACACUACACGUUCGAUGACUUCGGGCUCCAGCAAGCAAGCAAACAAGAAAGCAAGCAAGUUUCCGUGGGGAAGAAAAAUUGACACAUCUGAAGUCGUCGUGACCUGUAAGAUAAGACGUCCGGUGCGUUCGUGUCUGGCGAUGCGGCGGUGUUCGGGUUCCGCUGGCGGAUGCAGGUUUUUCCGGUGAAGUGCGUGCUUGUGCGUGCUUGACAAGUGUUCGCGGUUGGCUUCCUCAGUGUGGGAGUAACAUCGUGUAGCCGGAGGCUCGAGCUGCUACUUGCCUCACAAAAAUACAGCCUGCAAAACCUGAACAACCUCCUCAUCCGUGGGCGCCCGGCUCUCGCCUGCAAGUCGGCUGUUACGUGUGCGGUGAUGCGAGCCAGGUAGCUUCUGGGUGUUCCAUGCGCUACAACAAGAAAAACGACACUGCUCCAGGUGCUGUGGCAGGUUCAACCAGAGACAUCAAAGUGUGUUCCAGAGCUUCAGUGUGUUACAGAUAAGUGGUUUUGGCUUCCCCUUUAUGUUCCAUUCAGGGUCAGAAUGUAGUCUUAUAAAACAAAGUCAUAGUAAUUUAUUCAAUGAUAAACGGUUUCAUGAACAAGUCACUCUUUGAUCUAAAAGUAACUUAGACCAAUCAUGAUGGCAAGAGCACUUAGGGGAUAUUCACCUCGCCCUUAAUAGUGCACGUUGUCGUGUAACAGGAUUUACUCCAAUAGAAUAGACGUUUGCCGUUCAGGGUAGUUCACUUGAAAUAUCUUAAAGUUUCAACAGAGUGAUAAUCCCUCUAGAUUAGAUCUUGAUUUAGCACGGUCGAAGACCGGCAAAAACAUAAAAAAAAGGGCACAAACAGAAGCUUGGUUUAGUCGAGGCAAAGCUAAAGUCAAACUCUUUUCCGCUGAGGAUUUUGUUUUCGUAAGUUAACCGAAAAUGUAAAGGUCCCUUCAACAUUACUGCAGUUUUGGAAAACGAUAGGUAUAAAUUGAGACAUGUAAAUAGUUCUAAUAGAGUGUACAAAUUUCCCCAUGAAAACUUACGUGAAAUACCUCGAGGCCCGUCAGGCCUACUAGAAAUUUCUGAAAAUUAUAGUGACGAUGACGUGACGGCGUACACAGAUGGGUUAAUUAAUCUUGUUCAUGAAACUGAUCUUAAUGAUGACGACUCUAUCACUGACAAUAGAAGCGACAUUUUUAUCCGCAAAUAGCGAUACUAUUUCUGUGGGUAGUGAUACAAUGUCUAUUAGGUAAGGCACCGCGGGUGCAGGUGUUAGAAAUAUAGAAAACGAUGGUCGGUCUCGCACUAUUUCUGAAGAAAGUCAGUAUAAAUGUUCUGGUUUAAGAAAUGUUUUAACAAACGCUACCGUACACGCAGAUUAAAAAAAAAAAAAAAAAGAGAAUUGUAUGUGGCUAGAGAGAUGUUAAUCCGGACUAGCAAAAAAAAAAGAAAAAAAAAAAGAAAGUGUGAAGUCAUUGAAGGGUCUAUCCGGUCCAAUGACUUGGCUAAAGGGAUGUUAAUCCGGACUAGCAAAAAAAAAAAAAAAAGAAAAAAAAAAUGUAGGUCGUUGAAGGGUGUAUCCGGUCCAACGACUUGGCUAAAGGGAUGUUGAUCCGGACUAGCAAAGAAAAAAAGAAAACAAAAAAAAAAAAAGCGAAGUAAAAGAAAAAAAAAAUGUGAAGUCAUUGAAGGGUCUGUCCGGUCCAAUGGCUUGGCUAUAGGGAUUUUCAUCCGGACUAGCCACAACAAUUAGCUACAGGGAUUGCGAUCCGGUCUAGCAUUAUCCGGUCCAGUUCGAAAAACUGAAGGGAUAACAAUUCCGAUUUAAGUUAAAAGGGACAUACUUACAUACCUGAAGAGUUUUAAAUGAACUGGCCCAGGUAUGUAAGCAGUCAGUAUUUAUAGCCAGUAUAGGAUUUUCUGAAGAAUUAUGCGAACCGAACCGUACUAGAUUGUUAAUAUCAUAGACCACGUUUUAAGUUGCAUCCGUUAAAUGUCAGGAUGAACGAACACGUUUGUUGUUCACAGACAUACCAUAAGAAUGCGCGCACGAGGACGAGCGCACGUCAGUAUGGCCGUGACGGCGUUAACGAUAUUUCUAUUUAGCACGUGCAAUAGGAGUGACUCACACAAGCCAGGUGCGCCGGCCGUGUCGUUCGACUCAUAAACAACAGGUGCAACAGAAGUGACUCAUAAAUAAGCCAGCUGCGCCGGCUAGUAUAAAAAGGCGGAACGCGCCUUGAAAUGAACAUUCGUUGGACUGCGCUUGCCUGGUGCACUUACUAUAUCCUUGUUACGUUGUGUGAUUCAGUGACUGUUGUACGUACUGGUUAAAGUUGGACAAGUGUUAAAGUGAAUUGUUAAGAUAACAUAUUGUUGAUUAAAUCAGGAACCAAAAA